UUUUUAUUCAAAAGUAUUGCUGAGAUUUAUGAUUUUCUAAAAAAGAGAAAAUUGUGGGCAAAUAUUGAGGUUUCACCUGUGCAUUGAGUGUUCUUCAGAGAGCCUGUGAGGGUAGGGUUGUUGCAGUUCCUGUGGCACCCAGCACUGCCCAGUCCCAGAUUGGGAUACUGGUCUUGGUGGCCUCUGCUGCUCCUCACAGGCUGUAGGGCAGGGCAGGAGAAGGAGCUGCCUGCCCCCAGGUGACCUCAAGUUUGGAUUAUUGAUCCUAUCCCUGCCUGCCUGGAGGCACUUUUUAGGACAAUUAAGGGAAUUCUGUGGGUGGUAAAGAAUGUGGAAAAACAUGCUGUGCUGAAACCAGUGAAGUUACACCCCAACAAGUCUUUUCUGAUCUCAGUGACUUGGAGUGAAUGAUGUCCUGUUGCUAUUUGACCCCUUUCUGACCCAUCUUGAGCUACUUCAGGCAGAGGGACUACCCAUGUUCCCAUUUUCUAAUGCAGCAGAGGCCAUGAUGAAUGAACCGUUUUUGUGGAUCCAGCUCACAGCAAUAUUUGCUUGUGACAAUUCACAGCUGCUGCUCUGCCCUUCUGUGUCUCAGCAGAGCCAGCCUGGGAGUGGUGCUGGCUGAGUGCACAACUCCUCUGGGGAAGGAGGGAGGUCAAGUAAAAUCAUGGAGACUUGGUCCAUCUGUGCUCAGUGCACAGUGUGCCAAGUGGAAAAAUCUUCCAACCACUCAUUUCCUGAAGCCAGCAGAAGUCUCGAGACUGGUGAGAAUCACUCUGGACAGGUAUGCUUUUAUUUUUAAGCAAUUGCUGUUCCCCACUAUCAGAGUAUGAAGCAAGCUGGAUUUAUGGUCUGACUGAGAAACUCGUGCUCUUAAAAUUCCUGGGUUUAGUCAAGACUGUUUUUUUAGCUUUUAAAUUAUUUCAGAACUAUGAGGUAUGAAACAGCUUCUCCCUUCAUCUGACAGCAGGUAAAUAUGCAGUGCUGAUGGCAAAAGCAUUUUUAUGUUGUCAGUGAUGUUCUGUGGAGGAAUCCAAGUUCCUCCAUCAAGAGGAAGCUCAUCCCCAGGGAAGCUUGUGGCAGGUCUGGCUGGACAAAUUAGCAUCAUCAUGUGCAAGGAAAAAGUGUGGCUUUGUUCAAACCUAUGUCAAAUAAAUUCCAGAAGAGAGAGACCUUUGGAAAGCUCCUCUUGCUUGAGCUUUUUGGAAAUAUAAUGGGUGAUAGACUGCUGGAUAGCAGGGACGCCAUGGGGCGUUGGGUGCCUUCCUUAUUUAAGUGAAGAGCAAGGUGGAUUUCUAGGUGAGAGAAGGCUUGAGGGAUGAUGGCAACCUGUAGCCCCCAAAGAUGCUGUGGUGACACUUUCCUGAGUGCCCUGGUGCCCUGGAGGGUUGGGAGGCUGCUGGCUGCAGCAGAGGCUGGUUUUCCUCCUCUCUGGACACUCACCCUGUUUCUGCAGCUCUCCCUGGAGUGUACUCCAUGCUCCUAAAUGGCUCCUUAUGCCAACUGUGAAAAUGUCCUGUACAAGCUUGGGAGGCUGGGAACUCACUGCCUUGUCUGAGCUUGCUUGGUAGUGAGUUCCAGUCUGUGCAAACAGUUUUUGAGUAGUCUUAUCUUUCCACCAAACAUUAUGUUCUUCUGGGUGUUUUAUUCCCUUCAAGGAGAAUAGUAAUGGGUCAAGCUAUCCUGCCUCACUGACACUUGUUUCUGCACCUGAACAGCAGUCCCACUGUAUCCAGAUGAGGAACAAUCCUGUUGGUUUGAUCUUCCUGCUCUGCUUUGAGGGCUUUACAGGGCUUCUCCACAAAAUUUUAGAAAUAACUCAGUCCCUGCUAGAAUGACCAGAAGUCCCCUGUAGUAGAACUCUCUGUCACCCCCUCACCUUGAGCACCAGUUGCCUUUCAGCAUUUUGUCUGCUACACUUAGAUAAAUCCACGUGAUCUAGAAGCCAUCAGCUGAUAAACUUUCAGUACUCCAGAGGCAAAAUGCCUUGAGAGGAUCCCAAAGUGCUUUCUUGUGCACAUCCACAAUGACAUGUCACCCUUAAACUCAGUUUUGUGUUCCUUGUGCAUUAGCACAUUUAUACUGGCUGACAUUGCUUCUCAGCUCUAGGAAAUAUAUUUCAUAUUCUCAUCCUCAGAUCAGUUUAUUUUUCCCACUCUACAACUUGGUUAAAAUAUACCCCACUCCUCCUCUCACCCCAGAUUCCUGCCACAUACCUGGCAUUCUUUCAUCCUUAAUGAGAUGAAGGAGUGGGGGAUUUCACCCUCCUGGAAUUUUAGAGGAAUACUAAGUGGAUUUCUCAUGAAAAGCCCCAUUUAGGAUAUGAGUCUCCCUGAAAGAUAGUCCAUGACAGCAAACCUUGCUUUUGCUGGUAAUGGUGAGCAGAGUUUUUACUUCCCUGUUCCAUAACUACUUUCUGCUUAGUUGUUACAAGUGCUGCCAUUGAUGGAGACCCUGUUGGAGCAAGUUCCCAGUGGAUGAAGCAGAGAUUUGCAUCCUUGCAAAGGCGCCUGUUUGAGCAGCUCUGGCUCCUGAAUUGAAGGAAGUGUUUUCCUGAAAUGCAGACACAAAUACUCCUGAGUUUUCUGGCUCAGGAAGUCAGUCCUCAAAUCUGAGGCUGACUUUAGAGCCACAGACACCAGCAGUCCCCACCAGGCUGGUAGGAACCCAGAGAGUCCAGUCUUGCCAGAAGUGACAAAUUCCAGUUCUUCUGCUUUGCAGACUUCAUGUCCUUGACAUAUUUUUUUAAUGGGCUUUGUCAGAAGAUGCCCAACUUGCCCCUUCCUUUCAAAAGAAGGCACCAUGUUUUAAAUUUAAGCAAAAAAACCCUGGUAUUUAAUAUUAUUAUAAAAAUAUAUAUUAUUUCAGAUCUCCUGGAAAUUAAAGCAAAAGCAUGUUUCUUUUUAAAGUGUUUUGCACCUUCACAUUUAUACUUGAAAAUAAAAGGCUGUACCUCUCUCAAUGUGGCAUCAGUUUCUUCUGAGAGGUAUAAUUCAAAUAUUUUGAACUUAAGUGCAAGCCUUUAAUGCCACAAUUUUUUAGUACCACAACCAACCACAGCCACAACUGUUUAGACAUAAAA